UAGAACGCCAUGAAAAGAUAAGUAGUAUUUUACAGGUCUAAGCGAGUCGACGGUUGGUGUGAGUCGAUGGCCUUACGAAUGCGAAAAUGGUCUUUGAGCGUUUUUCAGCUGAGCCCUGGGGGUAAAGUUGAAAUGGGUGCGCCCAUUAGCGCGUUACGGUAUCCUUUAGGGUACCGGUGAAGUGGUGGUCUGUGAAGACCGCCAAAAUUUAAGGUGGUACCGCGAUGUAGUCGCCCUUAGC
rnacentral:ncRNA from 1 species